GCGAGUGAAGCGGCAACAGCUCAAAUUUGAAAUCUGGCUCUCGGGCCCGAGUUGUAAUUUGUAGAGGAUGCUUUUGAUGCGGUGCCUUCCGAGUUCCCUGGAACGGGACGCCAUAGAGGGUGAGAGCCCCGUCUGGUUGGAUGCCAAAUCUCUGUAAAGCUCCUUCAACGAGUCGAGUAGUUUGGGAAUGCUGCUCUAAAUGGGAGGUAUAUGUCUUCUAAAGCUAAAUACCGGCCAGAGACCGAUAGCGCACAAGUAGAGUGAUCGAAAGAUGAAAAGCACUUUGAAAAGAGAGUUAAAAAGUACGUGAAAUUGUUGAAAGGGAAGCGUUUAUGACCAGACUUGGACUUGGUUAAUCAUCUGGGGUUCUCCCCAGUGCACUUUUCCAGUUCAGGCCAGCAUCAGUUUUCCCCGGGGGAUAAAGGCGGCGGGAAUGUGGCUCUCUUCGGGGAGUGUUAUAGCCCGCCGUGUAAUACCCUGGGGGGGACUGAGGUUCGCGCAUCUGCAAGGAUGCUGGCGUAAUGGUCAUCAACGACCCGUCUUGAAACACGGACCAAGGAGUCGUCUUCGUAUGCGAGUGUUCGGGUGUCAAACCCCUACGCGUAAUGAAAGUGAACGCAGGUGAGAGCUUCGGCGCAUCAUCGACCGAUCCUGAUGUUCUCGGAUGGAUUUGAGUAAGAGCAUACGGGGCCGGACCCGAAAGAAGGUGAACUAUGCCUGUAUAGGGUGAAGCCAGAGGAAACUCUGGUGGAGGCUCGCAGCGGUUCUGACGUGCAAAUCGAUCGUCAAAUAUGGGCAUGGGGGCGAAAGACU
rnacentral:rRNA from 1 species